UGUAAAACUUGAAUUCCCUAUUGUAGCCCCGCCCUACCCCCAGGGGUCAUGAUUUGAAUAAUUUAGAAUCUACACUACCCCAGGAUGCUUCCACAUAAUUUCAGCUUUUCUGGCCCAGUGGUUCUUGAGAAGAAGAUUUUCAAAGAUUUUUCCUUUAUAUUUCAAU